UUAUUCAUUCACUGAAUAAAUGACUCAAAUGUCAAUUGACCCAUCCCCAGCAACGUCAACCUGCAGAAAGAAAAAGGCCAGUUUCUAUGGCCUUCAGACUCGAAGAUCGCGGAGAUAACUACGUAAAACUGGCAUGGGGUGGCGUAGAGGUUGGGUGAGAAUGACACGUUUUUCAACAUUAUCAAGCAGACCCAUCCCCGGCAAAGUCACCUGCAGAAGGAAAGGCCAGUUUGCAUUUCAAUUGAAG